rnacentral:rRNA from 1 species
GACGAACGCUGGCGGCGUGCCUAAUACAUGCAAGUAGGACGCACAGUUUAUACCGUAGCUUGCUACACCAUAGACUGUGAGUUGCGAACGGGUGAGUAACGCGUAGGUAACCUGCCUGGUAGCGGGGGAUAACUAUUGGAAACGAUAGCUAAUACCGCAUAACAGUAGAUGUUGCAUGACAUUUGCUUAAAAGGUGCAAUUGCAUCACUACCAGAUGGACCUGCGUUGUAUUAGCUAGUUGGUGGGGUAACGGCUCACCAAGGCGACGAUACAUAGCCGACCUGAGAGGGUGAUCGGCCACACUGGGACUGAGACACGGCCCAGACUCCUACGGGAGGCAGCAGUAGGGAAUCUUCGGCAAUGGACGGAAGUCUGACCGAGCAACGCCGCGUGAGUGAAGAAGGUUUUCGGAUC